GACGUAGGGCGCGAGCGUUGUCCGGAUUUAUUGGGCGUAAAGAGCUCGUAGGCGGCUCAUUGCGUCAACCGUGAAAACCUGCCGCUCAACGGUAGGCUUGCGGGCGAUACGGGCAGGCUAGAGUUCGGUAGGGGAGACUGGAAUUCCUGGUGUAGCGGUGAAAUGCGCAGAUAUCAGGAGGAACACCGGUGGCGAAGGCGGCGCUCUGGGCCGGUACUGACACUGAGGAGCGAAAGCGUGGGUAGCAAACAGG
rnacentral:rRNA from 1 species